rnacentral:rRNA from 1 species
GAUGAACGCUAGCUACAGGCUUAACACAUGCAAGUCGAGGGGUAACGAGAGGGAAGCUUGCUUUCCUUGUCGACGACCGGCGCACGGGUGAGUAACGCGUAUCCAACCUGCCCCCAACUAGGGAAUAACCUUGCGAAAGUAAGACUAAUACCCUAUAAUUUCCUCAGAUGUCAUCUGACGAGCAAUAAAGAUUUAUCGGCUGUGGAUGGGGAUGCGUCUGAUUAGCUUGUUGGCGGGGUAACGGCCCACCAAGGCAACGAUCAGUAGGGGUUCUGAGAGGAAGGCCCCCCACAUUGGAACUGAGACACGGUCCAAACUCCUACGGGAGGCAGCAGUGAGGAAUAUUGGUCAAUGGGCGGAAGCCUGAACCAGCCAAGUAGCGUGCAGGAUGACGGCCCUAUGGGUUGUAAACUGCUUUUAUGCAGGAAUAAAGUUAGCCACGUGUGGUUAUUUGUAGGUACUGUAUGAAUAAGGACCGGCUAAUUCCGUGCCAGCAGCCGCGGUAA